rnacentral:rRNA from 1 species
UACGGAGGGGGCAAGCGUUACUCGGAAUUAUUGGGCGUAAAGGGCGCGUAGGCGGUCGUGCGCGUCGGAGGUGAAAUCCCCGGGCUUAACCCGGGAGCUGCCUCCGAUACGGCAUGGCUUGAGUCCGGGAGAGGGGAGCAGAAUUCCCAGUGUAGCGGUGAAAUGCGUAGAUAUCAGGAGGAACACCGGUGGCGAAGGCGGGUUGCUGGGCCGACACUGACGCUGAGGCGCGAAAGCCAGGGGAGCGAACGGG